UUCAAAAGGAAAUGUGGCUUCCUCUCCUCACCCAAGACACCAUCGACAAGCAUAGAAAACUAUUUGGUGUAUAAAGUAACUGCAACUGCAAAGCGGCUGCUCAGAAGAGGCUGCAAACCUGUCUGGGGUUGGAAGGAAAUCUGAGCCUUCAGCACCGGAGGACAUUGGGCAUUUCUCUUCUGCUUCAAGGAGAGGAAGGUCUGAGCCACUUGCAGCCCUGCUUCCUUGCCUCAUCCUGCACCAUGACAGUUCCUCUGGAGAAGCCUGCAAUGCUACUCUGGCUGCUGGUCAUCACCUUUGCUGCAGCCCCCAAAGAAAGACAAGAAGAUUCUACACCAGAUGUCAUUGCAAUUAAAUCAAAGGAAUGCAAACAAUAUGGCAAUGUAUCGUACAUAGCUUGUUUGGCAAGAACGUUCUACAAGAACAUCAGUCUUGAUGGGCCCAAGGGUGUCAUUGCGUAUGAUCUGAAGGAACCUAUUCUCACAUCAGAGGGGAUGUACAGUACCUUGAAAGUAGUUGGCAUAGAACCAGAUACAGAAGGGACCUGCAAAGCUGUGCAAAAGGGGAACAAGACAGUAGCGAGCACAGUCCCACCAGAAGAGAAAGAUGAAGAACUAGUGGCAGAGAAUGCUUGCAACUUUACAGAUGCCUUUAAAAAAGAUGUCAAAAUGGAGAAAAUGAACAUGCUGUUCAUGGUUGUUUUGGGUUUGAGGGUCCUGCUGACAAAAUGCAUCGCCUUCAACAUGCUCAUGAGUAUCUGUUCAUAUUCUGAGGUACUAGGUAAGUGAGCCAGCAGGGGGCUGAAGAAGAGAAGGAGAUAAUACAUAGCAGUAUAAUUCAAACUCUAUGGCUCAACUUUGCUCAUAAUAACCGUCUGAAGAAACAAAGAAGCACCCCCCCCAUUCCCAGUUCCUGUAGAUUUGAUUAAGUCCCAUCACUUCAUCAAGGUGUUCUUCAGUUAACAUCAUCUGAAAGCUAUCGUAAACUGUUAAUACUGCCAAACUCUUGCUUUUUUUCAGUUCCAUUUACUGUUAAAACAACAAUUUUUUAUUUCUUAUUUCCAUAUGAAUUUUCCUUCAUCCUUAUGCUAAGCAUGAAUACUUUAUUUUCUCACAUCUCUUACUUUAUCCACUGCAUUUAAGUAUCCAAAUAUCCUAGUUUUGAAAGUGUUAAAACUGAGCUAUCUUACUUACUAUGCUUUAAAAAUAACAUCUCUAAUCAUAUUGCAUUACUGUCUACAGAAGCAAUGCCACACUGUUUAGGGAUACCUAAGCAUAGAGGAAAUAUU